AAAAAAUUAAAACACAACACUUGUUUGUGUUGUUGGGUUCGAUCAGAAGGCAGGGGGCGACUUCAAGCUCCCCAAAACCCUAGUUCACAUCAAAAACCACCAAUUGAAGGAUCAAAUCAAGUCCAAAACGAAAAUCGAGCAUAUAUUCGUGAUCCCCAUUGAAAGGAGAUCAUAAGAAAUUAUGCCCGCAAGUUUGUCGCCUAACGAGCUAGGUGGAGGCUUGGAAAAGAAGCGGUCAAACGAAUCAAGCACGAGAAGAAAACGUAUUCGGAUGCGAGGUAAGUAGAGCUUACGCCCCUUUACAUUAUUUGCAAAGUUACUUAAUUUCAAGUCAUGAUAUGAAUGCUACUAAGUGGUUGGUAUAUGAUAUUCCGACGCGAUUCAAUGAGAGUUGGAAUGAGGGGAAAAUGGUAAAUUAGUCAUGUAAUGACGAAUAAUUAAAAACGGUUUUAAGUAAAACAAGUUCAAAGAAAACCGGGAUAGGUAAAAGGGGUGAAAUGGUAAUUAAAUACCAUCUCAACACGGACAAAUGGUCAAUUAGACUAAAUGGGUCAAAUGGUGUGGAUAACACCAUUUGGCAAUAACAAUUGACAAUCGCUUGUUGAGUUUUGUGAUUUCAGGAAAUAACAUGUGUUGCGUUGCUUUAAUUAGAAAAUUUAAAGCAAGAAGUAUGUAAACGGGUCAAUACUAUGAUCCGAGCCAGGUACGCAUAUGUGAAUUUAUAGUUAAAAGUGCAAGAAGGUCUAACAUCUAGCCGAAAUCCUUCAUUUCAAAAUGAAGGACUAAAUGUGACCAAAGAGCCCUUAAUAGGUAAACAAUGUAAACGACCCUUAGAGGUUGCCUAGAAACUUAUAUUAUGAGUUUGAAACCCUUAGAUGUGUAUAAAAGUUCUAGGCAAAAACAAUUGCGGGUCGAACGCCUAGAAAUAGUUAAUUGCGGAAAAAUGACCAACCGAUAGGUAAAAUUGGGAAAAAGGGGUUCAUAUGUUAAAUCCACCACAAAAAAGUUGUGGUGGAAUAUUUCUAGUUAAUUAGACAUGGAAAAUAUUGUAGUAUCAAAAGAAAAGCACAAGUUCUAGACCAAAAUGCGUAAAUACCCUUAACGGGUCGAAAUAGAAGUAUUAGCGAAACGAGUUAAGAAUGUGUAAUAACCCGUGAUUUGAACCUUGUACAAUAGGAAAUAAUCAUAAUAUUAUGUUUACGAAAGAAACAAGGGCCACAAUCAAGUUUGUUAGAUGAAUUCAUGAACGGGUCAAAAUUUGG
rnacentral:lncRNA from 1 species